UACGUAGGGUGCGAGCGUUAUUCGGAAUUACUGGGCGUAAAGCGUGCGCAGGCGGUUCGUUGUGUCGGCGGUGAAAGCCCCGGGCUUAACCUGGGAAUGGCCGUCGAAACUGGCGAACUGGAGUGUGGCAGAGGGGGGUGGAAUUCCGCGUGUAGCAGUGAAAUGCGUAGAGAUGCGGAGGAACACCGAUGGCGAAGGCAGCCCCCUGGGCUGACACUGACGCUCAGGCACGAAAGCGUGGGGAGCAAACAGG
rnacentral:rRNA from 1 species